UAGUAACAAAAAAAAUAAUUUCAUUAAAAUGUAUAGACGGGAAGGAGCAAGAAAUUUACAUCACGAUUCGAAGGAUCUCUUAACCUAGAUCUAUCCGAUCAUAUUCCUUGUUAAGGGUAAGUCUCAAGAGCGAAAGGAUCGUUGCGCCACGAUCAACAUCAGCUUCCUGCGGUGGAAGUUCCAGCGCGCGUUAACUGCCAACGGGAUCGCGGUAAUCGUAUCUUACUCGAUAUGGAGAACGCGCUCGUCGUUUUAGUAGACUUUAAACACAGCGACAACCAAGCUAGAACGUGAUCGACGAAGCUUCCUACGUUGCUAAGAACUACCAAGGUAGCUCUUUGAUGUGCAUUAUGGAAGUUACGGAGACUUUACCAGAUGUUACAGAUCCGAUAAAGCGGAAAACGUUUUAGUAUCGCGAGUUGUAAGGUGACCAAUUAGAGACGAUCGCUCUGUUAUUAUUGAACGGACCAAAACACGACACGCCCAUUUUGCUCCAACUUGCCGCACAAGUAAACAAAAGUCUUUCCAAAUCGUUCGGACUAACCUGUGACUUUGCAAUGACUUUGUAAACCUGUGUUAUACAUACUAUAUGUAUACUUGAAAGUCUUAGGAAUAUAGACAAAAAUAUUCACGUU